UCUUUGCUCGCGAUGCGGAGCAUAUUGGGACGGAAAACAGCGAAAUAAAGUGUUUAAUCCUACUCACAAAGUGUGUUUUGUAAUAUCAUAUCGUUUUAUAAUUAUUUCAAUGUGUUGUGUGCGCCUAAGCGUUUAUCAGUGGCAUUUCCUUUCACUCGCGAUGCGGAACAGACGAGGACUUUUCUAAAAGGGAAUAUCCGAAAAGAUAUUUUCUUUCUCUCGCGGCGCGAGCAGACGGGGAAGUUGGUUUUAACAAGGAAAACACUGAAAAGAGAGAUUUUCGUUCACUCGUGAUGCCGGAGCAGAUGAGGAAGUUGGUUUUAACAAGGAAAAUGCCAAAAAUGGUUCAUGCUGGCUUAACAGAAAAAUCAAAAGGAGAUGAUGUGCUUGAAGAGUAUGAAGCCACCAAUACAUGGGAGUCGUCCAACCUCAGUGCAGCGAGAUCAAUAUGCACUUGGAAUUGUGACUUUGUCUCUGUCGUUAGAAGACCCAUUUUCUAGUAAGACUGACUUUCUUUUUACAAUAUACAUUUACAGUGAAUUAAAUGCUUUUCCUUAAAGGGAUAGUUCACCUUAUAAGGGCCACCUGUAGCGAAUCAAUGCGUUUUUGUAAGAAAAAUAUCCAUAUAUAAAACAAACACUUUCCUCUAGCUUGCGCUAACUGUCGUGUGCGCAAACCAUUCCGGGUGGAUGAGGUAGGACUUUAGUGAAUUUUUGGCUCCAGUGAAAUAUGCUAGUCUCACGAGAACCAACGUUUGUUUACAGUUUCAAUUUUCCUUACUUUAGCAAAGACAAACCACUCUCUUCUUGGCUUACAUCGAAAUCCUCCGACAUUUCUCUUCUCUUUACAAAUCCUUGUUUUGUAUUUCUAAUUCGUGAUUCGUUUGUUUAGCUCUCUACUCUGCUCUUCCGCUUUCGUCACUUCGCAUGCACUACACCGACGUCCUGCGUCAUCCGCCCGGAAAGGCUUCCACGUACAACAUUUAGCGCAAGCUAAAGAAAAGUGUUUAUAACGUUUUAAAUACGGAUAUUUUUCUUACAAGAACACAUUGAUUUACUACAGGAAGCCUUUAUUCACCCCCCCAGAGCCGUGUGAGGCAUGUUUUAUUAUGGAUGGAUGCACUUCAUUGCACUUGUUUUGGACUGUUGAACAGAAACACCCACCCACUGCCAUUAUAAAGUUUGGAUUAGCCAGGAAAUUUUUUAAUAUCACUCUGAUUGGAUUCGUCUGAAAGAAGAAAGUCAUAUACACCUAGGAUGCCUUGCAGGGGCAGUUUUGGGAUGCUGCAAAUAGGAGUGGAUAUCUUGCUUGGCUGAAAACUGCAGAGAAACGCAUCUCCCCGUGCUGAAAAAAAGAAUGAGACUAUUCUCUCCAAGGAGGUCCAAACACCAACACAGACUUUGAAUAGUGAGCAUUAACACGCAUUCAGCUUUUAUGGUAAUGAAUUGGAAUGCUGUUGUUUAACCUCCUAAAUGUCAGCAUUAUGAACCUUAUGACAUUAAUGGACCAAAUAAGAAUGUUUUUUGUGUCUUUGCACUGAUUUGCUUCUA